AUGCCAAGGAAAGGUCAAAGGUCGCAGUCCCAGAAGCUUAGAUGGCAAAAGCAGAAAGAACAGGUAAAUGUUUCUCAGAGCGGUGAGCAGGUAAAGGUGUCUGUUACAACUGUUCCCAGUCCAGAAGUGCAGAGCAGUGCUCAGACAGCUGCAGUGUCUUAUGCAGAUGUGGUAAAGAGAGGUGUUCGCUCAGCAUGUGUGCCAGAUGCUAAAGUACAGCAGGUAAUCCAGACUGAACCCCAGGUAACUGUACAAACGCAGCAUGAUGGAGAAGCUCCAGGACCGUCUCAUGUACAGGUUACAAACAGUGAAAGUCGUCCACGAAUGAGUAGCAUCUGUGCAUCCCGAAGCCAGGCUUCUCCUAGGUAUGGAAAGUACAGGAAUCAGCAAUGCAUGGCUAACAGUUUGGUUUUCCUGUCAUUCUUACAUGAGGAUGAAUUCAUUACCAGAGCAGAUCUAAACCGUGUGUUGGACGAAGGCCAUGCCAUGUAUUCAGAUGCCAGAAAGAGGUUUGUGAACAGCGUGUUUCUAGCCUGUGAUGAGCUUCCCACAGUGGUCACCAGCCGCAGACACGAGUAUCAAGUGGACAUGUCUCAGUUUGCUCAUUAUGGUACAUUUGAUGGUACAGAUCAUCUUCCGAGCCUUGAACAGGGACUACAGUGUUUGGCUUCAGCGGUUCGCUAUGCUUUGCUAGUCAUGGGAGGAAACGUCAUUGCAGUUUGCAGGCUGACUUCAGGUGAAUACGCAUACUUUGACCCACACCCACGUAGGUCUACAGGAAUGCCAUUGUCGCUAGCUGUAAGUGGUGGAACUGCAGUUAUGUUAAAAUUCACACGUCUUAAUGACAUGAUUGACAGGAUCAAAUGCUUGUACCGAAUGCUUAGCACCGCACCAACCUGCACUUAUGAGCUACAGCCUGUCGAGUUUCACAGUCAAAAUGCUGCGCCUGCUUAUCAAAGAGAUGCUAAUCAAAACACAGAAUACAGACAAUGCGCUACAAGUGCUCUAGCACCAGAUUUAAAUGAACCUGUUCCUGAAUUAAACUCCCAGACAUCCACUGAGCAGACACAAAAAACUGUGACCGACACUUUAACCACAGAAGGGACAUCAUCCAGAGUGGAUUAUUCAAAUGAGACAGCUGCUGCAUCUCUGCUAAAUAAAGCCUCUGCAUCUUGUGUGAGUGACACUCAGGUAACAUCCGAUUCUAUUCCUCAGAAUGAUUCAAACACUGCCUCCUGUUCAACUAAGACAACACAAGAACUCUCAUAUAAACUGUUGAAACGUAAUAAACAGGAAAGGAAAAAAAUGAGGAGACGAUUAUUGUCCCAACACAAACUACCACAAAGGAAGGAAAAUCAGAAAAAGAAAGAAAGGCAGAUGUACACUUUUGAUGAAAGCUUUAAGGCAAAGAAAAAACACUCCAGUAGACAGUCUAAUGAUCCUGAUCGCAGACAGAAGAAAAGUGUGUACAAAAAUAAUCUUUAUAAAUUCAAUGCUACAUAUAGAGAGAAACAGACAGAACAUUUGAGAAAGAGCUAUAGAGAAAGGGAUGAUUUUAAGGAAAAACAGGAGCAAAUGAGAAGGAUCUAUAGAGAUAGUGCUAAAAUUAGAGAGAAAAAAAGAAAAUGUGUCAUAAGGAUGUAUAAAGACGAUCCCAUAUUCAGAGAAAAGCAGAAAGAACGUAUGAGAAAUACAUAUAGAGAAUCUCCGGUGUUCAGAGAGAAGCAGAAGGAGCGUAUAAGAAGAACAUACAGAGAGUCUCCUGUAUUCAAAGAAAAGCAGAAAGAACGUAUGAGAAAAACAUAUAGAGAAUCUUAUAGAGAAUCUCCAGUGUUCAGAGAGAAGCAGAAGGAGCGUAUAAGAAGAACUUACAGAACUUGUGCUGAAUUCAGAGAGAAACAUAAAGCUUACAUGAGGUCACAUGUUUACAACUUGUAUAAAGAAAGUGAAGAAUUUAAACAUAGAAAACAAUCUUAUAUCACUAAACGUUAUGUAGAAGAGAAACAAUUUCAGCAACAGCACAAGGACAAUAUGAGAGAACAAAUGAGAAUAAAAUAUUGGAACGGUUUUUCUUUUAGACAGAUGCAUAAUAUCAGAUGUGCAAUGAACAUAAAAAGAAAAUAUCGUCAGAUGCAUCAACCAGCUGAAAGUUUACAGUCUAAUCCAGAUAACAGUUUAAUGAAUGAGGCCAUAUCUCGUUUCAGAUCAAACAUUAAAUCAGCACCAUCUUAUGUUUGUACUGUUUGUCUAAAAGCUUCUUUUCCUAAUCAGGUGAAAAUCUGCAAAAGAGCAAAUUACUCAAAACACCAAACUGUAGCUCAG
rnacentral:lncRNA from 1 species